AACGAACGCUGGCGGCAGGCUUAACACAUGCAAGUCGAACGCCCCGCAAGGGGAGUGGCAGACGGGUGAGUAACGCGUGGGAAUCUACCGUACCCUACGGAACAACAGUUGGAAGCGACUGCUAAUACCGUAUACGCCCUUAGGGGGAAAGAUUUAUCGGGGUAUGAUGAGCCCGCGUUGGAUUAGCUAGUUGGUGGGGUAAGGGCCUACCAAGGCGACGAUCCAUAGCUGGUCUGAGAGGAUGAUCAGCCACAUUGGGACUGAGACACGGCCCAAACUCCUACGGGAGGCAGCAGUGGGGAAUAUUGGACAAUGGGCGCAAGCCUGAUCCAGCCAUGCCGCGUGAGUGAUGAAGGUCUUAGGAUUGUAAAGCUCUUUCACCGAUGAAGAUAAUGACGGUAGUCGGAGAAGAAGCCCCGGCUAACUUCGUGCCAGCCGCCGCGGUAA
rnacentral:rRNA from 1 species